UGAGAGGGAUACUCUGGCAGAUGUGACCUUGGAGGCCAAUGUUCUGGGCACCCUGGAGUCCCAGAGGAACAGAGGAAAAGAACCAAGCAUGAGAGAACAGGCUGUCCUUUGGGCUUUGGGCUGUCUCAGGUCACAGGCUGCCCUAUGCCUGCAAUGUGCUGUGCACACUAAAUAUCCCCAUCUCAUACUGCAGGGUGUGUCUAUCAGCUCAGGGCAUGGUCACAGCAUUGCUGUUGGAUAGUCCAUAUGUGGGAAGAGAUCAGAAGCUUGGAGAGUGAUGAACAAGAAAUAAAAAGUCAAGGUUGCUGGAAGCCCAGCAGCUUUCAGUUUUUGUGGUUCAGCUAAAGGUAGUAGAAGACAGCAACAAGUUCCUCCUGAAGCUUCUCCCUGCCAGGCUGAGCAUCCCCUGUGCUUUCCUCCUCUUGUCACACAGCCUGUGCUCAGCCCCAGCCUGACAUCCUCCAGCUGGGCCCUCCCCAGGACGUCAGAAAACGUGGUGCUCCUUGUGUGUGCACACACAGUGGGGACUGGGGGCUGCUACUGCAGCUCAAGUGACACACCAGGCAGGGCAGACCUGUGCUCCUCCAGCUGUGCCAUCUCUGCUGUCACCCUCCUGGCACGGGCAAACACCCCUUUCCCCACUCCUUUGGGACCUGCUGGACGCAUUUACUGGAUAUUAUGGGUUGGGAAGAAGAUGCAGAGCUCCCAGCAGUGCAUGGGCUCGGGGGAUCCUUUUGUAAAACCUGCAGUGAAGAGAUUCAAGUGUGUUCAUUGAAGCAGGUGAGGAAAAGGCUUGUUCAUGUGUGGGAGGGGAUGGUGGGCAGGCAGGGCUCAGUCCAGCUCUGAUUCCCUGCCCUCUGU